CCUUUGAUGAUGAUUUAAACAUACUUUCGUUCUUCUGAGUUUCAUGAAGCCAAACUAUCUGUCCUGAGAAGG